rnacentral:sRNA from 1 species
UUUUUUUUUGCUGUUUUUUUU